GAUGAACGCUGGCGGCGUGCCUAAUACAUGCAAGUCGAGCGAACAGACGAGGAGCUUGCUCCUCUUACGUUAGCGGCGGACGGGUGAGUAACACGUGGAUAACCUACCUAUAAGACUGGGAUAACUUCGGGAAACCUGAGCUAAUACCGGAUAAUAUAUUGAACCGCAUGGUUCAAUAGUGAAAGACGGUUUUGCUGUCACUUAUAGAUGGAUCCUCGCCGCAUUAGCUAGUUGGUAAGGUAACGGCUUACCAAGGCAACGAUGCGUAGCCGACCUGAGAGGGUGAUCGGCCACACUGGAACUGAGACACGGUCCAGACUCCUACGGGAGGCAGCAGUGGGGAAUCUUCGGCAAUGGGCGAAAGCUUGACGGAGCAACGCCGCGUGAGUGAUGAAGGUCUUCGGAUCGUAAAACUCUGUUAGUAGGGAAGAACAAAUGUGUAAGUAACUAUGCACGUCUUGACGGUACCUAAUCAGAAAGCCACGGCUAACUACGUG
rnacentral:rRNA from 1 species